rnacentral:tRNA from 1 species
UCCUAGUUGGCUCAGUCAGUAGAGCAUCUGACUGGAUCCUCAGGGUGGUGAGUUUGAGCCCCACACUGGGGG